AGAGUUUGAUCCUGGCUCAGGACAAACGCUGGCGGCGUGCGUAACACAUGCAAGUCGGACGCGGCUUUCCACUUCGGUGGGAAGGCGAGUGGCGGACGGGUGAGUAACACGUGGAUGACCUGCCCUGAUGUGGGGGAUACCCGCCAGAAAUGGUGGCUAAGACCGCAUACGGUCUGAGGGCUGAGGCUCUGAGAAGAAAGUUCUUUGGGGAACCAGGGAACGCAGCAGGAGGGGUCCGCAGGCGAUUAGCUAGUUGGUGGGGUAAGAGCCUACCAAGGCGACGAUCGCUAGCUGGUCUGAGAGGAUGAUCAGCCACACUGGGAUUGAGAACGGCCCAGACUCCUACGGGGGGCAGCAGUGAGGAAUAUUCGGCAAUGGGCGCAAGCCUGACCGAGCAACGCCGCGUGGAGGAUGACGGCCUUCGGGUUGUAAACUCCUUUUCUCAGGGGCGAGUAUACGGACGGUACCUGAGGAAGAAGUCUCGGCUAACAACGUGCCAGCAGCCGCGGUAAUACGUAGGAGACGAGCGUUGUCCGGAGUUACUGGGCGUAAAGGGUGCGCAGGCGGCUAGUCGCGUGUGCGGUGAAAUCUCCUGGCUUAACUGGGAGGGGGCCGUGCAAACGGGCUGGCUUGAGGCUCGGCGAGGGGCGUGGAAUUCCGGGUGGAGCGGUGAAAUGCGUAGAGAUCCGGAGGAACACCGACGGCGAAGGCAGCGCCCUGGACGAGACCUGACGCUCAGGCACGAAAGCUGGGGGAGCGAACAGGAUUAGAUACCCUGGUAGUCCCAGCUGUAAACGAUGUCCACCAGGUGCCGCGGGUAUCGACCCCUGCGGCGCCGCAGCUAACGUGAUGAGUGGACCGCCUGGGGAGUACGGCCGCAAGGUUAAAACUCAAAGGAAUUGACGG
rnacentral:rRNA from 1 species